rnacentral:lncRNA from 1 species
UUUAUUUGUCCCCUGCAUUCCCUGGCACUCUCUCCCGCAGGGCUGUUCAGACCAUUCGUUGUCUUCUGAAACUACAAAUUCCUGUGUCGCUCCUACUUCAAAAGACUCCAUGCUGGAUACUCUGAUCAGAUUAGCUGUUCCAUCUGCAACAAAUUAGUAUUAUCUGUCUGCCUUCCAGCCCUUCCCCUUACCUAUCCAAUUCCCUUCCUGGAAAAGCGAUCAACAUUCUUUUUUCUCAUUUAUUCAUCCCUAGAUAUUUCAUGACCCUACUGGUAAAAAUACGGAAACAAGAGAAUGUACAUUGGUCGUUUGACAUAAGAGAGAAAGGUAUUCCACCAGAGGACUCAUCCUGGCCAAAGGCACAGAGAGAACUAAGAUAUAUUUAGAAAACAGGAGUAGUGAAUAGAGCAAUAAUCCCAGCUGCUGCCUCAACUGCUGCUUCUCCUUUUCCAGAUCUGACUUCAGCCUGAGUGUCCCUUGCCUGGACUGGUCCACAUACCAGCUGUGAGGAAAUUGGAUCCUCCGAGGCCCCUUGUGCAUCCUACCUUCCCUGGACCUCUGUUACUAUUUAUUGAGCUUUGACCCCCCAACCAUCUGUUUCAGUCCUGGUAAAGAGGUCCGGGUUCCGUUCUGAAUCAUGCUCCAAGCCGCUGAGCAGUCUUCCGUUUCCUUUGUUGCAUGGACAGUUUCUCUAUACCACUAAAAGCAGGA